CACUGUGUGUGUGUGUGCACGCGUGUGUAUGUAUGUAUGUAUGUAUGUAUGUAUGUGUAUAUAUAUAUAUAUAUAUAUAUAUAUAUAUAUAUAUAUAUAUAUAUAUAUACAUACACACACACACACACACACACACAC
rnacentral:miRNA from 1 species